UACGGAGGGUGCGAGCGUUGUCCGGAAUCAUUGGGCGUAAAGGGCGCGUAGGUGGCCCGGUCAGUUCGUGGUGAAAACUCGAGGCUCAACCUCGAGACGUCGGUUGAAACCGUAAGGCUAGAGUCCGGAAGAGGAGAGUGGAAUUCCCGGUGUAGCGGUGAAAUGCGCAGAUAUCAGGAAGAACACCUAUGGCGAAGGCAGCUCUCUGGGACGGUACUGACGCUGAGACGCGAAAGCCAGGGGAGCGAACGGG
rnacentral:rRNA from 1 species